ensembl:lncRNA
GUGUGUGUGUGUGAAUGUGAAUGUUUGAGAGAGCAUGUGUUUUUAUGUGUGUGUGUGUGUGUGUGUGUGUGUGUGUGUGUGUGUGUGUGUGAAUGUGAAUGUUUGAGAGAGCAUGUGUUUUUAUGUGUGUGUGUGUGUGUGUGUGUGUGUGUGAAUGUUUGAGAGAGCAUGUGUUUUAUGUGUGUGUGUGUGUGUGUGUGUGUGUGUGGAUGUUUGAGAGAGCAUGUGUUUUUAUGUGUGUGUGUGUGUGUGUGUGUGUGUGUGUGUGUGUGUGUGUAGGAUAAGUAGCUGAAUGUUUUAUUUUUAUGCAAACACUUAACCAAAGAGCAUCUCUGCAGGCAGAGACCAGGGCCAAAGACACACACACACACACACUCACACACACACACACACACACACACACACACACACACACACACACACACACACACACACACACACACAGUCAUACCUACAAUAUAAAUGCACAAGUACAAUCCUAACACACACACACACACACACACACACACACACACACAACCCUAACCUUUGAACCCUAACCUAGGGCCUUGAACCUGACCCCCAUGAGUUCAGCACAUAUUUGAUUGUAAAUAUUUCAGGGGUCAGGUGUUAGAACUAACAAACUCAAACUCAGACACACACAGGUGUUCAGUAACACACACACACACACACACACACUCACACAGGUGUUCAGUAACACACACACACACUCAAGUGUUCAGCAACACACACACACACUCAAGUGUUCAGCAACACACACACACACUCAAGUGUUCCCUCACACACACACACACACACACACACACACACACACACAGGUGUUCAGCAACACACACACACACUCAAGUGUUCAGUAACACACACAAGUGUUCAGCAACACACACACACACUCAAGUGUUCAGUAACACACACACACACACACACACUCAAGUGUUCAGUAACACACACACACACAGGUGUUCAGUAACACACACACACACACACACACACACACAGGUGUUCAGUAACACACACACACACACACACACACACACAGGUGUUCAGUAACACACACACACACACACACACACACACACAGGUGUUCAGUAACACACACACACAUACACACAGAUGUUCAGUAACACACACACACACACACAGGUGUUCAGUAACACACACACACACACACACACACACACAGGUGUUCAGUAACACACACACACACACACACACACACACACACACACACACACAGGUGUUCAGUAACACACACACACAUACACACAGGUGUUCAGUAACACACACACAGGUGUUCAGUAACACACACACACACACACACACACACACAGGUGUUCAGUAACACACACACACACACACACACACAGGUGUUCAGUAACACACACACACACACAGGUGUUCAGUAACACACACACACACACACACACACAGGUGUUCAGUAACACACACACAGAUGUGUCUCUGUGAAUGAUGUGUGUUUGAUGUGUCAUUUUAUCUGUGAUUAAACUCCUUCAGCUCCCA